rnacentral:rRNA from 1 species
UACGGAGGAUGCGAGCGUUAUCCGGAUUUAUUGGGUUUAAAGGGUGCGUAGGCGGGCUUUUAAGUCAGUGGUAAAAAUUCGGGGCUCAACCCCGUCCGGCCGUUGAAACUGGGGGUCUUGAGUGGGCGAGAAGAAAGCGGAAUGCGUGGUGUAGCGGUGAAAUGCAUAGAUAUCACGCAGAACCCCGAUUGCGAAGGCAGCCUUCCGGCGCCCUACUGACGCUGAGGCACGAAAGUGCGGGGAUCGAACAGG